rnacentral:rRNA from 1 species
GACGAACGCUGGCGGCGUGCUUAAUACAUGCCAGUCGAACGGAAAGGCCCUGCUUUUGUGGGGUGCUCGAGUGGCGAACGGGUGAGUAACACGUGAGUAACCUGCCCUUGACUUUGGGAUAACUUCAGGAAACUGGGGCUAAUACCGGAUAGGAGCUCCUGCUGCAUGGUGGGGGUUGGAAAGUUUCGGCGGUUGGGGAUGGACUCGCGGCUUAUCAGCUUGUUGGUGGGGUAGUGGCUUACCAAGGCUUUGACGGGUAGCCGGCCUGAGAGGGUGACCGGACACAGUGGGAAUGAGAUAAGGCCCAGAAUUCUACGGGAGGCAGCAGUGGGGAAUAUUGCACCAUGGGCGGAGGCCUGAUGCAGCAACGCCGCGUGCGGGAUGACGGCCUUCGGGUUGUAAACCGCUUUCGCCUGUGACGAAGCGUGAGUGACGGUAAUGGGUAAAGAAGCACCGGCUAACUACGUG